rnacentral:rRNA from 1 species
CCUACGGGAGGCAGCAGUGGGGAAUAUUGGGCAAUGGGCGAAAGCCUGACCCAGCAACGCCGCGUGAAGGAAGAAGGCUUUCGGGUUGUAAACUUCUUUUGACAGGGAAGAGCAGAAGACGGUACCUGUCGAAUAAGCCCCGGCUAACUACGUUCCAGCAGCCGCGGUAAUACGUAGGUGGCAAGCGUUGUCCGGAUUUACUGGGGGUAAAGGGCGUGUAGCCGGGGUGACAAGUCAGAUGUGAAAUCCGGGGGCUCAACCCCCGAACUGCAUUUGAAACUGUUGGUCUUGAGUAUCGGAGAGGCAGGCGGAAUUCCUAGUGUAGCGGUGAAAUGCGUAGAUAUUAGGAGGAACACCAGUGGCGAAGGCGGCCUGCUGGACGACAACUGACGGUGAGGCGCGAAAGCGUGGGGAGCAAACAGGAUUAGAUACCCUUGUAGUC